UUGGAGGGCAAGUCUGGUGCCAGCAGCCGCGGUAAUUCCAGCUCCAAUAGCGUAUAUUAAAGUUGUUGCAGUUAAAAAGCUCGUAGUUGAAUUUCGGGAUCAAUAUUUCGGUCAUGCCGUUGGUAUGCACUGUUAUCAUUGAUUUCUCACCUUCUAAAGAACCGUGAUGCCAUUAAUUUGGUGUUACGGGGAAUUAGGACUGUUACCUUGAAAAAAUUAGAGUGUUUAAAGCAGGCUCACGCCCGAAUACAUUAGCAUGGAAUAAUGAAAUAGGACAUCCGAUUCUAUUUUGUUGGUUUCUAGGAUCGAUGUAAUGAUUAAUAGGGAUAGUUGGGGGCAUUAGUAUUCAAUUGUCAGAGGUGAAAUUCUUGGAUUUAUUGAAGACUAACUACUGCGAAAGCAUUUGCCAAGGAUGUUUUCAUUAAUCAAGAACGAAAGUUAGGGGAUCGAAGACGAUCAGAUACCGUCGUAGUCUUAACCAUAAACUAUGCCGACUAGGGAUCGGAUGAUGUUAAUUUUUUAAUGACUCAUUCGGCGCCUUACGGGAAAC
rnacentral:rRNA from 1 species